AAGAGACAGCAGUAGCCGCGGUAAUACGUAGGUGGCAAGCGUUGUCCGGAAUUAUUGGGCGUAAAGGGCUCGCAGGCGGUUUCUUAAGUCUGAUGUGAAAGCCCCCGGCUCAACCGGGGAGGGUCAUUGGAAACUGGGAAACUUGAGUGCAGAAGAGGAGAGUGGAAUUCCACGUGUAGCGGUGAAAUGCGUAGAGAUGUGGAGGAACACCAGUGGCGAAGGCGACUCUCUGGUCUGUAACUGACGCUGAGGAGCGAAAGCGUGGGGAGCGAACAGGAUUAGAUACCCGCGUAGUCCCUGUCUCUUAUAC
rnacentral:rRNA from 1 species